GUUAGAAGCCUGGCAGUGUAGAGAAAGGGAGAGUGCUUGUGUGUGAUGGUGAGUAUAACGUUUGCAGUUACGCUAUAGUUAUCACCAUAGCGACGUGUGUCUAUCUGAUUUACUUAGUAUAUGUUGGGUAAAAAUGCCACAACAAGCACAUCUCUCGGGUUUUGUUGGAGUUGUUGCACUUAGUGGUCAAACUCGGUAUGCCGGUCCAGUGUUUGGCUCUAUAUUAAACUGGUUUGAAAAUGUUUACACCUAAUCCAACAAAUCAAUGUGUUGAUGUGUGACAAAAAAAGAUCUGCGGCUGUAUUCACAAAGACUCUCAGAGAGCUCCAAGCUUGAACCUAACAUUUUUGGCAAGGACUCAUAGGAUGAAGGAAAUGUUUCAGAGAAACUCAUAGCAAGGAAAGGACAGCAACCUUUACCGUAGUCAGGAGGCGUGGUUCACCCCGUUGCAAGGUGUAUUACGCAUUCUUUAGAUGUGGUUGAUUGGGGGAAAAAAUAGGGGUAUCUCUUAAAACUAGGAGCCAUUAUCAGAAAAAGUUUUACGUCGGGUCAAAAACGGGCAGAAGUCAAACACAGAAAGCGUCAAGUUUACAUUCAAAUAGGCCAAGAACAGAUACAUGUCGUAGUAAAGAUUAUAGGUGGUUUGUUUGGCAUUUCUGUACAUAUUUCUGAAGCCACCCACGGUGCCUUAACUGCCUUAAUUUUUAGCAUUAGUCACUUAAUUCAUAGGGAGAAUGAGUUAACCCCGUUGUGGGUUGACUCAUACAAAUCUCAUAUCUCGGUUUGAAUAGCACAUAAACAAAAUUGUUAAAACGUUGGCUGGAUUGGCUCUGCGACAUGUAAACACCUCAGGCGGUUUUAGUUUUUUCAACAUUGACACAAAUAUGUAACUACUGAUCAUCACAGUAGCUAUAGGGACUAUUUGUUUCCCCUACAGGGACUAUUUGUUUAAAUGUAUUCAGGAGGAUUGCAGCUUUUUUGUUUGUUCUCUGUUUGAGAUCAUAUCUAUGUAUUUCUCUGCCACUUUCCCGCUUGUUCCCUCUCAUCACUCCCCUCCCCUAUUUCCCCAUGGACAGCAUUAAAAAGUAUGAUAAAUUUGUCAAAGGGAAACA
ensembl:lncRNA